rnacentral:rRNA from 1 species
GAUGAACGCUGGCGGCGUGCUUAACACAUGCAAGUCGAACGGAAAGGCCAGUGCUUGCACUGGUACUCGAGUGGCGAACGGGUGAGUAACACGUGGGUGAUCUGCCCUGUACUUCGGGAUAAGCUUGGGAAACUGGGUCUAAUACCGGAUAGGACAACUUUUUGGAUAUUGUUGUGGAAAGCUUUUGCGAUAUGGGAUGAGCUCGCGGCCUAUCAGCUUGUUGGUGGGGUAAUGGCCUACCAAGGCGUCGACGGGUAGCCGGCCUGAGAGGGUGUACGGCCACAUUGGGACUGAGAUACGGCCCAGACCCCUACGGGAGGCAGCAGUGGGGAAUAUUGCACAAUGGGCGCAAGCCUGAUGCAGCGACGCCGCGUGGGGGAUGAAGGCCUUCGGGUUGUAAACUCCUUUCGCUAGGGACGAAGCUUUUUUGUGACGGUACCUGGAGAAGAAGCACCGGCUAACUACGUG